rnacentral:lncRNA from 1 species
GAAAUAUGCUCAUAGUGAGACUCUGACAUCCAGGAAUCACUUGCUCUUAGAGGAUGUCUUAUCUGCAAAAACUUUUAAAAACCCCCUGAAUACUUGCUCUGAUCAGCUACCAAUACUCUUUUUCUCAUACACAGUGCUUUUUUGCAUCCGUCUGAGUUUUCUUCUGUCUGUCCUGGGAACACUGCUAUAUGCUGGUAUCCAGUUCUAGUCUACAUGGAUGGAAGCAGAAUGAAAGGACUAAAGAUAAACCUGAAGAGAAGGGUGCAAAACCAAAGCAUGUACCUAGCAACAGAGGAGUCCAGGCUGAAAGCAAGGAGUCUUUGGAAGGUAUAGAGCCCAAAGGAGAAGAAAAGUUGGAUGAAAAUAAUGGAGCAUGUGAAAAAGUAAAUUCUUUCAAUGCUGUAGUCUCCAAAGUUGACUCCAGUCCACAAAUUAAAGAAAGGAUAACACAGCUGCAAACAAUAGCAGAUUCUGGCAAAACAAAUAGCUCUAAGAAUUGUCAACCACAAAAGGACACUAUAAUUACAGCUUUGAUUCCAAACCAUGAUCUUUCCUUCAUAAAUCAUGGCCCCGUGGGGAACAAGAAUGUUAUUGCUGAAGGAAUUGAUAAGGACAGAGCACCAGGACUGGAAGAACACCACAGAAAGCCUAUUAAUCAGAAAUCAAAAGAAAGUGAAAACAAAGCCUCUACACUCAGUACUAUGACCAUGGAAACGGUGCCAUCCACAUCAAAGUCUGUAUCCAGAGCAGGGUGUGAAGUGAUACGUACAAG